rnacentral:rRNA from 1 species
UACGUAGGGUCCGAGCGUUGUCCGGAAUUACUGGGCGUAAAGAGCUCGUAGGUGGUUUGUCGCGUUGUCCGUGAAAACUCACAGCUCAACUGUGGGCGUGCGGGCGAUACGGGCAGACUGGAGUACUGCAGGGGAGACUGGAAUUCCUGGUGUAGCGGUGAAAUGCGCAGAUAUCAGGAAGAACACCCGUGGCGAAGGCGGCUCUCUGGGACGGUACUGACGCUGAGACGCGAAAGCGUGGGGAGCAAACAGG